UGCAGUCGAACGGAAGGCCUCUUCGGAGGUACUCGAGUGGCGAACGGGUGAGUAACACGUGGGCAAUCUGCCCUGCACUUCGGGAUAAGCCUGGGAAACUGGGUCUAAUACCGGAUAGGACCUCAAGACGCAUGUCUUCUGGUGGAAAGCUUUUGCGGUGUGGGAUGGGCCCGCGGCCUAUCAGCUUGUUGGUGGGGUGACGGCCUACCAAGGCGACGACGGGUAGCCGGCCUGAGAGGGUGUCCGGCCACACUGGGACUGAGAUACGGCCCAGACUCCUACGGGAGGCAGCAGUGGGGAAUAUUGCACAAUGGGCGCAAGCCUGAUGCAGCGACGCCGCGUGGGGGAUGACGGCCUUCGGGUUGUAAACCUCUUUCACCAUCGACGAAGGUCCGGGUUUUCUCGGAUUGACGGUAGGUGGAGAAGAAGCACCGGCCAACUACGUGCCAGCAGCCGCGGUAAUACGUAGGGUGCGAGCGUUGUCCGGAAUUACUGGGCGUAAAGAGCUCGUAGGUGGUUUGUCGCGUUGUUCGUGAAAUCUCACGGCUUAACUGUGAGCGUGCGGGCGAUACGGGCAGACUAGAGUACUGCAGGGGAGACUGGAAUUCCUGGUGUAGCGGUGGAAUGCGCAGAUAUCAGGAGGAACACCGGUGGCGAAGGCGGGUCUCUGGGCAGUAACUGACGCUGAGGAGCGAAAGCGUGGGGAGCGAACAGGAUUAGAUACCCUGGUAGUCCACGCCGUAAACGGUGGGUACUAGGUGUGGGUUUCCUUCCUUGGGAUCCGUGCCGUAGCUAACGCAUUAAGUACCCCGCCUGGGGAGUACGGCCGCAAGGCUAAAACUCAAAGGAAUUGACGGGGGCCCGCACAAGCGGCGGAGCAUGUGGAUUAAUUCGAUGCAACGCGAAGAACCUUACCUGGGUUUGACAUGCACAGGACGCGUCUAGAGAUAGGCGUUCCCUUGUGGCCUGUGUGCAGGUGGUGCAUGGCUGUCGUCAGCUCGUGUCGUGAGAUGUUGGGUUAAGUCCCGCAACGAGCGCAACCCUUGUCUCAUGUUGCCAGCGGGUAAUGCCGGGGACUCGUGAGAGACUGCCGGGGUCAACUCGGAGGAAGGUGGGGAUGACGUCAAGUCAUCAUGCCCCUUAUGUCCAGGGCUUCACACAUGCUACAAUGGCCGGUACAAAGGGCUGCGAUGCCGCAAGGUUAAGCGAAUCCUUUUAAAGCCGGUCUCAGUUCGGAUUGGGGUCUGCAACUCGACCCCAUGAAGUCGGAGUCGCUAGUAAUCGCAGAUCAGCAACGCUGCGGUGAAUACGUUCCCGGGCCUUGUACACACCGCCCGUCACGUCAUGAAAGUCGGUAACACCCGAAGCCAGUGGCCUAACCCUUU
rnacentral:rRNA from 1 species